rnacentral:rRNA from 1 species
UACGAAAGGGGCGAGCGUUGUUCGGAUUUACUGGGCGUAAAGGGCGCGUAGGCGGUCAGCACAAGUCAGUUGUGAAAUCUCCGGGCUUAACUCGGAAAGGUCAACUGAUACUGUGCGACUAGAGUGCGGAAGGGGCAACUGGAAUUCUCGGUGUAGCGGUGAAAUGCGUAGAUAUCGAGAGGAACACCUGCGGCGAAGGCGGGUUGCUGGGCCGACACUGACGCUGAUGCGCGAAAGCCAGGGGAGCGAAGCGGG